CUACCAAUCCUCUGAACCACCUGCGCAGGCAUGCCAAGCCUAGAGGCCUCAGUAGCCGCCCCAAUACGGAAUGAAUGGCCCCCAAACUCCUUGCUAUCUAAUCCCAUGGCUUCCAGCCCCAAAUGAAAUACUCUAAUAAACUGAAAAUGUGACAGGAAACUACCAUCUCCAUGCACCAGGAGGGGCAGCACAGGAGAAGGCCGCAAGGCGCAAUAUUCCCCAAAGGACCACACAGGACAAAUGCCAGAACAAGGCACGGCUCCCAACUGGACCCACUUUCCCCUCCCCAAGACAUCCGCCUUAGAGCGGCAGAUCCUGAACGAGAUCCGAUCCGCGGUGCACGUAACGUCCCCAAAUAGCACCCCCCCUACCUGUUGCCGAUUGGGGCACACCAGCU